AGUGAGUAAGUAGUUCGCUGAGUCAACUAAAGGGUGCUUAUGCACCAGCAUGCAUGCCAUGUGGGAUCCUUUAGUCAGGGGAAAACUCACUUUUUU
rnacentral:sRNA from 12 species